ensembl:rRNA 5S_rRNA 5S ribosomal RNA
GCUUACGGCCAUACCACCCUGAGCACGCCCGAUCUCGUCUGAUCUCGGAAGCUAAGCAGGCUUGGGCUUGGUUAGUACUUGGAUGGUAGACUGCCUGGGAAUACCAGGUGCUGUAAGCU